rnacentral:lncRNA from 1 species
AUUCCUGGAGGUAUUUAAGAAGUGCGUGGACAUGAAGCUAAGAUACAUGGUUUAGUCACAGGACUCAGCAGACAAUGUUGAUAGUUGGAAUUGGUCUUGAAGGUCUUUCCCUAUUUAGACAACUCUGAUUCUAUAAAAUUAGUUAGCUUGUUAGGGAGUAUCUAGUUUGUCUUUUCCUAAUUAUUAGUGGAGGAAGGGAAUACAUUCUCUGCAAGGACAUUCAAUGUGUGAAGUUUUGGUGUUUUUUUUUUUUUUUCCAGUGAUGAAAAAAAAAUAUCAGAAUUGCUUUGCAGAACACUAAGGGUCCAUUUCAGUCUGGUCUUCCCUGCUACUGCUCUGCUUUUGUGGAGAUCUUGGCUCCCAUGCUUUCUUUCCCUAUGCAAGGACAGACUUUUUAAAAUACUGGACACUGAAGAUGCUGGGUGUUGCAAAUACCAGGCAAUGUCACAAGGAGUUCCUGUUUCACCUCUCACAGAUGUACAUGGCACCAGUGUGAAAGACAUGGCAGAGAGGCCAGAGGGGACCCAGAGCUGCACUGGGAACACAAGUGCUGAGACUCAGAGCAGAGCAAGUGCAAACAGAGAAGAGCUUACCAUGUAGAAGCCUUCUGGUUGGUGCUUUGCUUCGUCUUCGUGUCCUUUCUUCGCAGCUGGUUCACGUGAGGGAACGCCAACAACGCUCACCCACUCUUCGGUAUUUUAAAAGUACUGUGUAUUUGUAAGAGUCGUUCUUUCAAGAACGAAGAGUGCCACCACUAAGUGACAUUUUGAACAAGAAGCCAAAAGCUGAUACAACAAUUCAAAAGCACACAAAUUAAAGUCAAUUGUAAAAUGGAUUUUCCAUUCCAUUAAAAAUGUCAGGAUUGAAAAAUUUUGACAUAUAAAAGAUCAUAUUAAAUAUUCAUAUUGAAUUAAGUGGGAACAAAAGCAGAAAUAUAUUCCAAAUAUUGUGCAAAAUUAAAUUCUGAAAACAAUUAGUUUAUCCAAAAUGUUUAAAUCCAAAUAUUUUGUUUACAUUUGAAUCCUUCCUCUUGUUUUCUAUUUCAAG